rnacentral:lncRNA from 1 species
AAAUCAAUAACCAAAAAUAUCUAUACCAUUAAAUAAAAAGAUAAAAUUUAAGCAAAUAAAUUAAAUUCCGGAAGUUGCUUCAUGUUUUCUUACUUGCAAAAAAUAAACCGUAAUCUAAUUAUAUGUGAUUUCUUACUUGCAAAAAAAAAAAAAAACUCACAUGAAAAAUAUUUCAAUUUCAAACUUAAAAUAUAAAACCACCAAAUCUGAAAAUUUUUUAAACUCUAAUAAAAUAUAUUCUGUUUCAAAAAUAUUUUGUUAAUCAAUAACGAAGUAUAUGCCAAGUAAUAUUCUUUAUUCACCAAUUACCAAUUAUUAACAAACCCUUAAACCUCCUACCAAAAUAUCAGCCAUCCUAACAAAUUUACUGCCAAAUAACGAUAUUCACUUAGUUUAUUAACAUAACUAAGAUAUUCUAAAGCGAUUUACAUUGUUAUUAUGUGGUAGAAAACUAAACUAAAAAUAAUCCGAAUAUUCUUUCAAAACCUAUCUAUUGUAAGCUAUAUAU